UGUUAAAAAUUUAAUCAUUUUGUGCUAUUAAAAAUAUGUGUGGCUUACAAAAUAACUAGACAAUGACACAUGUGUGCCAUGUAUACUUUAUGCUGACAUAUGCAGACUAACUUUUCACAGUAAAAAUGGACUAAUUCUUUAACA
rfam:Gossypium hirsutum cultivar TM-1 chromosome 6, whole genome shotgun sequence